CACACUAUCAUUAACUGAAUCCAUAGGUUAAUGAGGCGAACCGGGGGAACUGAAACAUCUAAGUACCCCGAGGAAAAGAAAUCAACCGAGAUUCCCCCAGUAGCGGCGAGCGAACGGGGAGGAGCCCAGAGCCUGAAUCAGUGUGUGUGUUAGUGGAAGCGUCUGGAAAGGCGCGCGAUACAGGGUGACAGCCCCGUACACAAAAAUGCACAUGCUGUGAGCUCGAUGAGUAGGGCGGGACACGUGGUAUCCUGUCUGAAUAUGGGGGGACCAUCCUCCAAGGCUAAAUACUCCUGACUGACCGAUAGUGAACCAGUACCGUGAGGGAAAGGCGAAAAGAACCCCGGCGAGGGGAGUGAAAAAGAACCUGAAACCGUGUACGUACAAGCAGUGGGAGCAC
rnacentral:rRNA from 1 species